rnacentral:lncRNA from 1 species
UGGCUUUCAAAUACACAAGCAACAACCACUACACAAAAACCUAUGGCGCUUCUUGGGUUGGGAUUUUGAGAUUGAACCCUAAGCAAAGCGAACAGAAGACAACUUCCUCUCAACAAUCAUUUCCCUUUGUCAUCCUUUUCCUGGCUUCUGUUAAGGAAGGGGAAAUUGAAGUCAUCCAGCUGACAAUCACAGUUCCACAGAUACCUCAAUGGGCUGCUGCCUCUACCUGCAUAGUCUUCUUCUGGUACUGGAACCACUCUAUAUAAAUUGUUGAUGAAUAAGUAUCCUGCUUGUAGAAACUCAGGCACCAACUGGAAGACCCAGAGGCUGUGGGUCAACCCACCUGCAUCUGUGACAUCACAGCUCUAUAAACAAUGUUUGUAUGUUUUUAUUCAGAAAACAAAGAUAUUUCUAAUUUAAAAAAAUUUAAAAAAACUUAAAGAAUGCUGUCUUUUAAAAAAUAUUUAUUUAUUGGCAUGAGUUAAGAAUCACCCAAAUUUCUUUUACAUGCCUAUAAAAAUGAUAUAAUUUGUUUUCUUUAAGUUACUGAUUUACUGUGUAAUAUUUAUGAAUUGUUAAAUAUUGCAUUGGGGUUGGAUUCCCAAUUUGAUUUAUUACUUUCCUAUUAUAUUGCUUAAUUUAGAGUAGUUUAUUUAGAUUGUCAUAUCUACAGCUAACUACAAUCAAUUCACUUCUAAUUUUGUAAAAACUUCAGCAGCUCUAAGGAUUGAGUUAGCCAUUGCCUUGUAAUUAUAACGGGUAACUAUCUUUUUGAUCCUUGACUUGGAAUGAAUAGUUGACACUGAAAUUGCUAAAGAAUAAUGUGGAAAAUCCCUCUCACACUGUUCACCUUCAUUGCUGUGGAUAAUCUUUAACAACUUUAUUUUCUCAGUUGCUCUGUUCAGGUUUUUUACCUCUUACUAUGUUAAUUUUGAUGUUAGUUUUGCUGUUAUUCUAGUACUUGUUGGUCUGUUUUACAGAAUAUGAUCCCUUUCAUUGCUAUUUCUAAAUUUAUCACAAAACUGUGAGAGAAAUCCAUUAUAAUUUAAUCAUUUUAUCCAUUACGAUGUAUGAUAUACCCUUUGUAAUGGUGAUGUCUUAUUUUGAUUAAACUUAAUUAUAUAUUUUUUUAUUUUGACUUCAUAAAAACCAUAUUUUGGAUUAUUCAUUACUUUUACUAAUUUUUAGCCCUGUAUUUUUUUCUGAAUUUUGAAAUUUAUUUUGAAAUAAAUAAUUUCCUUUUCUCA